rnacentral:lncRNA from 1 species
UAUGAAAUAGUUUGGAAAAGAUUCACAUACAAUCCAAUAAUGGAGACGCUCGAUGCAUAAAAAAAAGCAAUGCAAGAGAUUUUGAGGAAUCCAGUCUAAGUUAUCUUCUUCUAAUAUCCAAAAAAGCACGGUUUUUAUAAAAUAGGAGCAUAAUUUAUUGUUUAAUAUGUUAUCACUAUUUAAUAUUUCCUUUAACCAAUUUUUCAACAACGCAUAGCAGAGCAAUUGGGUAUGAUUAAAUGAAUAAACCAAUAUUUUUUCGGAAAGAGAAAAGGAAAAUCGCCAUUCAAAAGGAU